rnacentral:rRNA from 1 species
CUACGGGAGGCAGCAGUGGGGAAUUUUCCGCAAUGGGCGAAAGCCUGACGGAGCAAUACCGCGUGAGGGAAGACGGCCUAUGGGUUGUAAACCUCUUUUUUCAGGGAGGAAUUUUGACGUGUACCUGAAGAAUAAGCAUCGGCUAACUCCGUGCCAGCAGCCGCGGUAAGACGGAGGAUGCAAGUGUUAUCCGGAAUCACUGGGCGUAAAGCGUCUGUAGGUGGUUGAACAAGUCAACUGUUAAAUCUUGAGGCUCAACUUCAAAAUCGCAGUCGAAACUGUUUGACUAGAGUAUAGUAGGGGUAAAGGGAAUUUCCAGUGGAGCGGUGAAAUGCGUAGAUAUUGGAAAGAACACCGAUGGCGAAGGCACUUUACUGGGCUAUUACUGACACUCAGAGACGAAAGCUAGGGUAGCAAAUGGGAUUAGAUACCCCAGUAGUCCUAGCCGUAAACAAUGGAUACUAGGUGUUGAACAGAUCGACCUGUGCAGUAUCAAAGCUAACGCGUUAAGUAUCCCGCCUGGGAAGUAUGCUCGCAAGAGUGAAACUCAAAG